rnacentral:rRNA from 1 species
GCGCUGCACGAGUCUGAUGCAGCACGCCGCGUGGAGGAUGACGCAUUUCGGUGUGUAAACUCCUUUUAUAUGUCAAGAAAAUGACGGUAGCAUAUGAAUAAGCACCGGCUAACUCCGUGCCAGCAGCCGCGGUAAUACGGAGGGUGCAAGCGUUAUUCGGAAUCACUGGGCGU